GAAAGGGCAGAGAGGCUGUUUCCAAUCGACCCUCGGCUCAGUGAAGGAAAGGAAAAAACAAACAAAAGCAAAAGAGCAUUAGUAAGUCCAGUAGAGAUAGCGUAAAUAAUUAUCUAAACGUAAGAACCAUAAAUAAAUAGCAUACAAUAGUAUCAUACAGUAACUACCAUAAAUAGCUACCAUAAGGGAGAAAUUAGAACAGAAAGUGAACUGAAAAUAAAUUAUUUUGUAUUUGAAUUAACAAUCUUGGAAUAAUCAGCUCUUUUACAGUGAUAACAACUUUAAGGAUAUCUCAGUACAACUCAAUAGCCUUUUUUUCAGUUUCAGUACUUCUAUCCAAACACGUAACGUCUUAUUUACGAAUCUAGCUCCAGCACUUCAAAAGAAGUGCGUCAAUUGGUUAUAACCUACUUUUUUCCAGCUAAUCCAAACGGGAUCUUAGUUUUAGAGUACAAUGAAAUAAAAUCAAUAUUUUCAGAACCUUAAAUUAAGUGAACUUAAUGUGUGUGAUUUUUUUA
rnacentral:lncRNA from 1 species